rnacentral:rRNA from 1 species
GAUGGACGCUGGCGGCGUGCCUAAUACAUGCAAGUCGAGCGAACGGACGAGAAGCUUGCUUCUCUGAUGUUAGCGGCGGACGGGUGAGUAACACGUGGAUAACCUACCUAUAAGACUGGGAUAACUUCGGGAAACCGGAGCUAAUACCGGAUAAUAUUUUGAACCGCAUGGUUCAAAAGUGAAAGACGGUCUUGCUGUCACUUAUAGAUGGAUCCGCGCUGCAUUAGCUAGUUGGUAAGGUAACGGCUUACCAAGGCAACGAUGCAUAGCCGACCUGAGAGGGUGAUCGGCCACACUGGAACUGAGACACGGUCCAGACUCCUACGGGAGGCAGCAGUAGGGAAUCUUCCGCAAUGGGCGAAAGCCUGACGGAGCAACGCCGCGUGAGUGAUGAAGGUCUUCGGAUCGUAAAACUCUGUUAUUAGGGAAGAACAUAUGUGUAAGUAACUGUGCACAUCUUGACGGUACCUAAUCAGAAAGCCACGGCUAACUACGUGCCAGCAGCCGCGGUAAUACGUAGGUGGCAAGCGUUAUCCGGAAUUAUUGGGCGUAAAGCGCGCGUAGGCGGUUUUUUAAGUCUGAUGUGAAAGCCCACGGCUCAACCGUGGAGGGUCAUUGGAAACUGGAAAACUUGAGUGCAGAAGAGGAAAGUGGAAUUCCAUGUGUAGCGGUGAAAUGCGCAGAGAUAUGGAGGAACACCAGUGGCGAAGGCGACUUUCUGGUCUGUAACUGACGCUGAUGUGCGAAAGCGUGGGGAUCAAACAGGAUUAGAUACCCUGGUAGUCCACGCCGUAAACGAUGAGUGCUAAGUGUUAGGGGGUUUCCGCCCCUUAGUGCUGCAGCUAACGCAUUAAGCACUCCGCCUGGGGAGUACGACCGCAAGGUUGAAACUCAAAGGAAUUGACGGGGACCCGCACAAGCGGUGGAGCAUGUGGUUUAAUUCGAAGCAACGCGAAGAACCUUACCAAAUCUUGACAUCCUUUGACAACUCUAGAGAUAGAGCCUUCCCCUUCGGGGGACAAAGUGACAGGUGGUGCAUGGUUGUCGUCAGCUCGUGUCGUGAGAUGUUGGGUUAAGUCCCGCAACGAGCGCAACCCUUAAGCUUAGUUGCCAUCAUUAAGUUGGGCACUCUAAGUUGACUGCCGGUGACAAACCGGAGGAAGGUGGGGAUGACGUCAAAUCAUCAUGCCCCUUAUGAUUUGGGCUACACACGUGCUACAAUGGACAAUACAAAGGGCAGCGAAACCGCGAGGUCAAGCAAAUCCCAUAAAGUUGUUCUCAGUUCGGAUUGUAGUCUGCAACUCGACUACAUGAAGCUGGAAUCGCUAGUAAUCGUAGAUCAGCAUGCUACGGUGAAUACGUUCCCGGGUCU